rnacentral:rRNA from 1 species
UACAGAGGGGGCAAGCGUUAUUCGGAAUUAUUGGGCGUAAAGGGCUCGUAGGCGGCCAACUAAGUCAGACGUGAAAUCCCUCGGCUUAACCGGGGAACUGCGUCUGAUACUGGAUGGCUUGAGUUUGGAAGAGGGAUGCGGAAUUCCAGGUGUAGCGGUGAAAUGCGUAGAUAUCUGGAGGAACCCCGGUGGCGAAGGCGGCAUCCUGGACCAACACUGACGCUGAGUGAGCGAAAGCGUGGGGAGCAAACAGG